rnacentral:rRNA from 1 species
UACGUAGGGGGCUAGCGUUGUCCGGAUUUAUUGGGCGUAAAGAGCGUGUAGGCGGCCAGGUAGGUCUGGUGUGAAAACUCGAGGCUUAACCUUGAGAUGUCAUCGGAAACCAUUUGGCUAGAGUCCGGAAGAGGAAAGUGGAAUUCCUGGUGUAGCGGUGAAAUGCGUAGAUAUCUGGAGGAACACCGGUGGCGAAGGCGGCAUCCUGGACCGGCAUUGACGCUGAGGCGCGAAAGCCAGGGGAGCAAACGGG